AGCGAACGCUGGCGGCAGGCCUAACACAUGCAAGUCGAACGAACUCUUCGGAGUUAGUGGCGGACGGGUGAGUAACACGUGGGAACGUGCCUUUAGGUUCGGAAUAACUCAGGGAAACUUGUGCUAAUACCGAAUGUGCCCUUCGGGGAAAGAUUUAUCGCCUUUAGAGCGGCCCGCGUCUGAUUAGCUAGUUGGUGAGGUAAAGGCUCACCAAGGCUACGAUCAGUAGCUGGUCUGAGAGGAUGACCAGCCACAUUGGGACUGAGACACGGCCCAAACUCCUACGGGAGGCAGCAGUGGGGAAUCUUGCGCAAUGGGCGAAAGCCUGACGCAGCCAUGCCGCGUGGAUGAUGAAAGGUCUUAGGGAUUGGUAAAAAUCCUUUCACCGGUGAAGAUAAUGACUGUAGCCGGAGAAGAAGCCCCGGCUAACUUCGUGCCAGCAGACGCGGUAAAGUAGUCGUGU
rnacentral:rRNA from 1 species